AACGUGCUGCUUACUAAAAAUUAUUUUCCUUAAAAUAACUUAUUAGAGACUUAUUGCACGAGUUGGCAACUAAGCCCGAAUAUACUAUUACAGAGGUUAAAUUAAUUAAAAAAAAAAAGUAAAAUUAUUAUAUUUUACAUAUUAUAGAGGUAAACAUAAAGGCUUGACAAUGACAAUUAUAAUUGAGGGGCUUAAAGUGGGUUAACUUCACAUGUUUUUUUAUGCAUUUCAAAGGUUAUUUGUACUUUGUAAGUUAUUCCCAAUAAAACGUGUGGGAAAAACCAUUAUGAUUAUGGUAUCUCUUGAGAAGGAUUAAUGGAUUCAGUUAAAUAAAAUUAUUAUUUUUUUCUUGCUGUGUAAACUAACAUCUGAACCUGUGACAAUCUUGCAUGAACAAAUGGUCAAAUAUUUUCUGUUACCAAAAUUGUUAAAAAUUAAGUCACCAUGUUCGAUUAUUAUACAGGGUUACACGGUUUUGUUUAUAUUCAAUAAAAAGGAGAGAAUUUUUUUUUCGAAAACAUUCUCGAUUUUAUUUUUGGAUCGGUCAUAUUUUAAUAUUAAAUGUAGAUAUACAGAAUGCCGCAAAUAAGUUGAAAGAAAAAAAUAUUUUUUUCUUCAAUGGUACCUCUUGCAUUUUCGAAUUGUCCGGAAAAGUUUUAUGUAUAAUGUCCUAUAUACAGGGUGUCCCAGAAGUCGACGAUCAAACUUAAGGGGGGAAAGGAGGAGGUCAUUUAGAAUCUAAAAAUCUAUAUAUGUGGUUAUCAAAAUAUUGAUGGGUAAAAAGUUAUUCACCUUUUUGUAUUUUUUAUUAAAAUUGAAUACUGCGAACAAUAAAAGAGUUAUGCAAAAUAAACGCGGUAAACUACUGUUUUAUUUUUGAUUAUGUUUAAUUCUUAAGGAUGUCCUUUUAAUUUUAAAAUAGUUUCAAAAACUCUAAUGUCUUCUAGUCCAAAAAAAAAUUUCAAAAAAAAAAAAAAUCCAAAAAUUUUUAAAAACAAGUUUUGAUUUCAAAAAAUCUUAGUAAGUUUUUUUAAUAGAUGGUGAUAAAAAGAAAUUACCCUUUACAAAACUGACCCGCCCUUAGAAGAUCUUGAGAAAUUAUUGUAGAUUCUUAACAUAAUAAUAAAUAAUAAAAACAGAUUUGUUUUACCCAAUAAUAUAAUGGAAAAUACUUUCCUUGUACCAUUGCCAAUUCUUUUAAAAAUCACAAAAACUUAAAGGUUUUUAUUUAUUACCAAUAUUAUUAAGGUAGGUAUUUACCAUUUACCUAUUCUUAAAUUUAAGGUGAACGUUAAAGUUCAGUUUUAAAAUGUUUUGAAUAUUUUGCAUUGUCCUUUUUGUUGAGAUAAAAAUAACAAACGAUUUGGAAUUUUUCAAAUCAGUCUUAGGUACGCUUUCCUUCAUACUGGGCUAUUACAUUUCGACCUUUGCGAUUAAUCAGUACCUACUUUUUUUAUUUGUUAGUUCAACUAUUAAAGAUACCUUAUGCACCACAGGAAUAUGCAGAAUUGCAUUAUGUCUAUGGGUUUUGUGACGGUAAUGCUCGGGCUGCUGCUAGAGAGUAUAGGACACGAUUUCUUAACAGAGCACAUUAUCCUGAUUACAGAGUAUUUCAAAAUGUUCAUAGGAUAUACGUGGAUGGUCAAAUUCCUGGCCAGCAUUUGUCCAGAGAAGGAAGGCCUAGAGUUGAUAUUGGUGAAGAUGAGAUAAUAAAUAUGGUAGCAGAAAAUCCUACCAUUAAUAUUCGUCGUAUAGCAAGGCGUUUGGGAUUAUCAUCGUUAUCGGUGCAUCGUAUUUUGAGAAGAUCUCUGUCACAUCCAUAUCAUGUGCAACGGGUGCAAGCAUUGUUACCCGGAGACUACGCCACAAGAGUACGAUUUUGCAGCGAUAUGUUACGUCGCAACAGAACCGACCCUCAGUUUUUCCAAACAAUUUUGUGGAGCGACGAAUCAUUGUUUCAAAGCAUAGGAAUAUUUAAUAUUCACAAUUUACAUAAUUGGGAAUAUGUUAACCCUAGAAUUGUGCGCGCUUCCCGUUUCCAACAUCAAUUUGGAAUAAACAUAUGGGCUGGAAUAAUUGAGGGUAAGUUAAUUGGCCCUUUUGAAUUAGCAAGACGACUCAAUGGCAGCUACCUCAAUUUUUCACAAAAUCAUUUAAAUGGCUUACUAGAAAGACGUAUCCUUAGAAACACGUCGAAACAUGUGGCUGCAGCAUGAUGGAGCUCCUCCAAACUACGCUCAAGUAUUGAGAGUUUAUAUCAACCAACAGUUUCCAAAUCGUUGGAUUGGAAGGGGUGGGACUAUUUGCUGGCCACCGCAGUCCACCGACCUUAACCCAUUGGACUUCUUUUUGUGGGGUUAUUUUAAAGAAUUAGUUUACGCUACAGAAAGUCGCACUGAACAGGAAUUGCGUCAAAAAAUAAAAGAAGCGAUCAGAGUGGAGUGAUCAAUAACAACCAGCGGGGAUUCCAACGGUUAAAAAUAAAUUUUAUUCGACGAUGUAGAUUAUGUAUAAGGGCAGGCGGCAGAGGCCGUAGGCCAUUUUGAACAUCUAAUGUAGUUAAUACCUUAUUAAUAAUUAAAUAAAAAAAAUAUUAUUACAAUUUCUUGUAUUUUUGAAAAAAUGUGGCAAUGAUACAAAUAAAGUAUUUUCCAUUAGAAAUUGGGUAAGACAAAUCUGUAUUCAAGUCUUUAAUUAUGUUAUGAAACUAAAGCUCGGAAAUAUCGAAAUGGCCAGUGAAAUUUGGGUGCGCAGUGGCAAAAUCCUUGAAAGUCCACUUUAGGCCGUUGGUUUAUCAUUUUCUGUCUUCAUCGCACACUGACUCUCUCACUCUUUCUUCCCGCAUCUCAAAGGCCAUUUCGAUAUGGGCGAGUUGUACAUUAAUUUCUCAAGAUUUUCUAAGGACGGGUCAGUUUUUUAAAGGUUAAUUUCAUUGAAUCAGCAUCCAUUAAAAAAAAAUUAUUCAUAUUUUUUGAAAACAAAACUUGUUUUUAAGAUCAUAUUUUUCUUGACUAGAAGAGAACAGAGUUUUUGAAACUAUUUUAAAAUUAAAAGGACACUCCUAAGAAUUAAACAUGACUAAAAACAAAUCAGUAGAAUAAUCGUUUAUUUUGCAUAACUUUUUUAUUGUUGCCAGCAUUCAAUUUUAAUAAAAAGUACAAAAUAUUAAAUAACUUGUCAACAAUUGGAUAACAACAUAUAUAUAGUUAUUUUAAUGCAAAAUGACUUGCCCCAUCUCCCCUUGACAAGUUUGUUCGUCGACUUUUGGGACACCCUGUAUAUUCCGUUCACGAAAUAAUUACGUUUAAAUAAUAAUACUACUAAACACUUUAUUGCUACAUGACUUGAUAUAUUAUAUUCCAAGGCAUUUCAAUUACCUACACCUCACAUUUGAAGACUAUGUGAAUAUUUGACAUAGUCUUCAAAUAAGUGUCAAUUAUUUAAAAGUUUCAACUGAAUUGUUAAUUUAUAUUAAUAAAUAUUUACAAUAAAAUUCAAAUAACCGGUAAGUUAAUCUACAGCAGAAUUGGACAUAGUUAUGCAUAACGCGACCAAGCGCCAAAUUCGUUUUUUUUGGUAUUAUUGUGUCAUCUGACGGCCAAAUACCAUAUUUAUCUAUGAAAAAAAUCUCGAGCGUUAGAAAUCUAUAGUUAAGGAUAUAUGCUAAAUGCAAAACUCGGUAUUUGACAAAAAACGCGAAAGUGAUUUUAUUUUACAUUUUGACAGACUACACUGAUAACUAAAAGAUAUACUACAAUAUUAGCUGCAAAAGUGCCUAUUUACGUAUAAAAAAGACGUUUACUUAUAGAGGAUAAAUGCAAAACUGGGUAUUUUCAAUCAACCAAUAAGCGCUAGAAACGCUUGUAACGGCCGCAUACCACGUGUUAUAAUUUCAUUAUUUUUAUUUUUAGUUUGUUACUGUACUUGAUAGUAUAAACAUCGUCUCGCAGUUUUAAGCCGUUAAAAUUUUAAUUUGUUAAUAUCAGUUUCGAAAAAAGUGUCUACUACUGUAGGAAUGGAUACAGAACAACCUUGUGAAAAAGGAAAAGGGAGAAAACGCGAAAUAAAUAAGGAGAACUGGAAAAGAAGGAAGAUGCAAAUUGAAAGACAUAAGCCACAUGAUUUGCCUCAAUACCCGAAAUGUGCUCACAAUAAAAAACCAGUGUUUUUGUGUCGGAAACUAAGCAUGAGAGACAUUCAAAGCUUCCACAUGGCGUUAUAUUCAAAUGUUGACAAGGUAAAACAAGACAUUUUUGUGCUACAAUUUUGUGAGGGUUCAAAACCCAGAAAAUCAUUAAGAAAUCAUCAUGGACUUUCCAUAAAAUAUUUUGUUCCAACAAUAACUAAGCAAAAAUUUAGAGUUUGUAAAAAAGCUUUUCUCGGAAUAGCCCGUUUUAGUGGAGACAGAUUGGAAAGAAAUGUAAGAAAUUAUUUGCUUUCUAAUGAGUUGCCAAAAGAGCGACGUCGUGGUGGCCAUAAAAUUGUGUUUUUUUAGAUGAUAUGUGAAUAAAAAUUAUAAUCUAAGCUUUGGUACCCCCAUGACUGAUUUGUGUUCCACUUGUAUUCAGUUUGAAGAGAAGUUGAAAGUGAACACUAAUGACAAAGCUCAGAUAAUUUGCGAACAACGUGUCCAUAAGUUGGAAAGCAAAGCAUUUUAUAAGUGUUUAAAAUUAGACAGAGAGGAUGUACAGCUUUUUUCUUUUGAUUGCCAAAAAAAUUUGGCUUUGCCUAAAUUGCCAGAUCAAAGUGCAUACUUUUCUCAACAAAUAAACUUUUAUAAUUUUACGGUUGGUUUGUGGCAGCUCUUCAACAAAACUUUCUCAAAAUACAGUGUUAUCCUUUGUCUGGCUAGAAACUGAAUAUUGUAAAAAUUCCAAUGCUAUUGCCUCAGCUAUACAUACUACGCUGAAAAAUUUUUUAGAAAUUUUUUUUUUUUUAAAAAUUUAGAGAAAUUACAAACAAAAUUUUACUUUUUGCCGAUGGAUGUGGGGGGGUUAAAUAAAAAUAGCACCGUCAUGGGGAUGCUAGCAUACUGGCUUUGUUAUGAGGCACCAAAAACCAUUGAAACUAUCGAGUUUACAUUUCCAAUAGUUAGCCAUUCAUUCAUUCCCCCAGAUAGGGUUUUUGGGUUGAUCGAAUGUGAAAUUAAAAAAAAAAGUGUGAUAAUCAAUCGCCACGAAUAUGAGCAGAUUAUUCAAAAUCAUUCAAGGGUUUUCAAUCAUUAGGCUAAGUUAAGACUGGACAAUUCUUGAUUGGAAAAACGCAGUGUACCAAGUAAUAAAAAAGCCUGCCCAAUGGCACUUUAAAUUUAAUGAAAGUAAACGCUUCGUAUUUACACGAGAAGGUAAUAGCACUCUAUUAAGAGGAGAAGUGCUCUAUAAAUCUGAUUUGGGUGUGUUUAAGUCAGUUGUAAAGAGAGGAAAAACCCUUUCUCGUUUAAAGCCUGAUCAAAUUCCUACUGGAGUGCAUUGCUUAAAAGAAGAUAAGUCCUCUAUUUUUAAUUUACUAAAGAAUCAUUUUGGAUUGGACUGGGCUAGCAAUCCAGAAUUGGAAUUUUACAAGGAGCUUCAGAACGCAGUUCAUAAUUACCAACAGAGAGGAGCUGAAGAAGACCAACAAAAUGAAGAAAAUGAAAAUGAUAAUAAUGUGGUCAUUGAAGAAUAUGAAGGACUUAGGAUCUAACCUGUUUAAGGACUUUUGGUACUUUUAUGCAUUUUUCUAAAAAUAGGAAUUUAGAGAAAUAAAUUUUGUUCUUAAAAAUUAUUUAGAAUUUGUGUUGUUUUCUUUAUUAAACUUUUUCACAAAACAUAGUUUUUGGUAUUAUCAUUCUUUACUUUCAAUGCAAAACUUGGUAUUUGCAAAAAAUAAGUGCGAAACUGUAUAUUUUCAAACAUUAUUUCUUUUUUUCUUAUUUAUAAAUAAGUAAUGAUUUAAAAAGUAAACACAAAUCGAAAGAAUUUAGAUAGAGUCAUCUACCAAACAUUUUCCCAACUACAUAACACUAAAAAUAAUUUUUUUACAGAUUUUUGCGCUUCCUGAAAAAUUGCUUCUAUUGCAAAUGUCGAGUUUUGCAUUUAGUGUACUCAUAUUUUAAAUUAAACUAAGCGCCAAACGGUCUAUAACACUAGUUGCAUUUUGCAUGAAACGACUAAAUGCCACGAAAUUGCAUAGGUCAAUUAAACGCCAUCAUACUGGGCGCUUGGUUUAGUAAUGCAAAUAGCAGUUAAAUUCGGUCACGUGAUCUGGCACCGAAAAAUAGGUAAUAUAUCACGUGAUAUUUGUCAAAUUUUGAUCAUUUUUCUCGCAGAUGCAUUUACCGAACUUAGCUAGGAAAUAUCAACUGACGUUUCUUGAGUGAUUUAAUUCAAAUCUUUAAAAAAUGCUGAAACGGACUGCUAUUAUACUAAAUCGCGCAUAUGAAAUAAAUUUAGAGGUAAGUAGAUACCAAACUAUCUAGUGCUACUAUGAAAUGGGGCAGUAAUAGAAUUUUUUACGUAAUCGUUAGUUGUUACAAAGAAACUCUAGUUUUAUUUGAAGUAUUUCAAGGUAUGAUAUACCUAUGCAGUUGUAAUUUGCUUAGCUUAUUAUGUUAGUAAAUAAAGUGGUUUAGUUUUACUGUAA